CAGAUUCUUGUAAAGUGUCGCAUCGUUGCUUGUGCAGUUUCGUUAAACGCUAUCGUGGGAUUGCAGCCAGUUUAAUUUAAUUGGGCGUUUAAUGUGCAUAAAUGUUUUUGUUUUUGCUUACUUUUGAUGUUUAUAUUUUAAAUUACAAUGUUGCAGUUUUAUUGUCGAUUAUUGUGUGACGUGGUCGGUCGCUAGAUCAACUGGAAACAUAUUCGUGUUUGAUACUUGCCGUACCCUUGCAAUCCGAAGAGCGCUGCAUUGAAAAUGGUCUACAUCUUGCAAUUAAUUAGCUGUAGUUGGGAGCGCCGUAGAAAUACUACCUAGUGAGUUAGUUGUAAUAAUAUUAAACUGUUAUCCAGGUAUAAUUUUGAUAUACGAAUAUUUGCAUGUAAACAAUUUUUUGUUGAGCCUAUCGCAAUAGCAACACUGCAUGACCGCGUGGUCGUUUCAGAGCGCGCAGUUACAUUCCGGUUGCCGAGCGGAGCAAGUGUAUUCAUCGCGACAAGUUUUAUUUCUCCCUAUUAUAAAUUGAUCGUAAAUCAAUUUAUAUUCAAUAAGCAAUCGACGACAUGUAUUAGAAUUACGCGUGAACGGAAUUUCGGCUGAUAAUAAGCACGAGUGAACUACUGUCGGUCGUCGGGGAUUAUUUUUCGCGUGUAGAUUAUACUUCACUCGUGUUGGCCUGCAUGCGCUCGGCGUGCGUGUCCGUCGGCUGUCGGUUAUCACCCAGAAUAACUUGGAUUUAUGUUUAAUUCGAAUAAGUAUUCAUCGCAGAAGAGUUGCAAAUGUGCGCAUAUUUUAAGGCAAGUCUUCCGCGGCAUUUAAUAAUUGUCAAUAUUUUUCUAUAUAAAAAAUGUUUGUAUUUGUAAAUGUUGUCAAUAAAAUAAAAUUAAUAUAAAUU